GUAAUACAUAAACAACGUGCCCUGAAGACUGGGAUAUACGGCCGAAAGGCUGAGCAAUACCGGAUGUGGCAGCGUCUCGGCAUCGAGACGCUAUCAAAUGGUUUUUCGCUUUAGGAGCGGUUUAUGGCCUAUCAGGUAGUUGGUGGGGUAAUGGCCUACCAAGCCGACGACGGGUAGCGGGUCUGAGAGGAUGAUCCGCUCGAGUGGGACUGAGACACGGCCCACACACCUACGGGUGGCAGCAGUUGGGAAUCUUGCACAAUGGGGGAAACCCUGAUGCAGCGACGCCGCGUGGAGGAUGACGGAUCUAGGUCUGUAAACUCCUUUUUCAUGGAAAGACUUAGGACGGUACCAUGAGAAUAAGGACCGGCUAACUACGUGCCAGCAGCCGCGGUAAGACGUAGGGUCCAAGCGUUGUCCGGAUUUACUGGGCGUACAGAGCGCGUAGGCGGCUCGUAAAGUGUGAAGCUAAAUCUCUAGGCUCAAACCUAGAAACUAUUUCGCAUACUGGCAAGCUUGAGGGAUGCAGAGG
rnacentral:rRNA from 1 species